rnacentral:rRNA from 1 species
UACGGAGGGUGCAAGCGUUAUCCGGAAUCACUGGGCUUAAAGGGUGCGUAGGCGGUCUGAUAAGUCAGUUGUGAAAUUCCUCGGCUUAACCGAGUGGACUGCGAUUGAUACUGUCAGACUUGAAUCAGGUUGAGGUAGGCGGAAUGUGACAUGUAGCGGUGAAAUGCUUAGAUAUGUCAUAGAACACCGAUUGCGAAGGCAGCUUGCUGGGCUUAGAUUGACGCUGAGGCACGAAAGCGUGGGGAGCAAACAGG